rnacentral:rRNA from 1 species
GGUUAUUCCAGCUCCAAAAGCGUAUAUUAAAGUUGUUGCAGUUAAAAAGCUCGUAGUUGAACCUUGGGCUUGGCUGGCCGGUCCAUCUUUUUGAUGCGUACUGGACCCAGCCGAGCCUUUCCUUCUGGGUAGCCAUUUAUGGCGAACCAGGACUUUUACUUUGAAAAAAUUAGAGUGUUCAAAGCAGGCCUUUGCUCGAAUAUAUUAGCAUGGAAUAAUAGAAUAGGACGUUAUGGUUCUAUUUUGUUGGUUUCUAGGACCAUCGUAAUGAUUAAUAGGGACGGUCGGGGGUAUCAGUAUUCAGUUGUCAGAGGUGAAAUUCUUGGAUUUACUGAAGACUAACUACUGCGAAAGCAUUUACCAAGGACGUUUUCAUUAAUCAAGAACGAAAGUUAGGGGAUCGAAGAUGAUCAGAUACCGUCGUAGUCUUA